rnacentral:misc_RNA from 1 species
AACACCUCAACUCCCCUUUCUUUUUUGAAAUGGGAGCUGGACUUGAGUGAUCCCAACGCUUUUCUCACCGAAAAGCGGCGGGUUACUUGAAAUGCAGGUGCAGCUGGACUUUUCUCUGAGCUAUAAGCAUAUCUAUUUAGUCUGCCUAAAAACAGAUUAUUACCUUUGCUGCAGCUAACAUAAAGGAGAUUAGUUCUUGUGCUGACUGAUGCAGGAUUCACAGAGACAGCUUCGGCUGGCCUUUGUAA